CAUCGCCGCGGUAAAACGAAGGGUGCAAGCGUUAAUCGGAAUUACUGGGCGUAAAGCGUGCGUAGGCGGUUUGUUAAGUCUGUUGUGAAAUCCCCGGGCUCAACCUGGGAAUGGCAAUGGAUACUGGCAAGCUAGAGUGUGUCAGAGGAUGGUGGAAUUCCCGGUGUAGCGGUGAAAUGCGUAGAGAUCGGGAGGAACAUCAGUGGCGAAGGCGGCCAUCUGGGACAACACUGACGCUGAGGCACGAAAGCGUGGGGAGCAAACAGGAUUAGAUACCCGUGUAGUCCCUGUCUCUUAUACA
rnacentral:rRNA from 1 species